CUUAGAACAUUGAAAGGCUAGAAUUAGUAAACAACAACUUUGUUUGAGUCCAACAUGUGCACAGGGGCAAGAGGGGUGUUUUAUUUACAAACAUAUGUGUCGAUUCUCUGUUGUCAAGUCGACACAAAUUUCCAACGGAGGAAAUUUUUAGCUAUAUUUUAACAAACAUUAUAACGUUAAUUUAACUUAUUUCUGUUAUAUUUUAUAGGAAAAUUUAAAAUAAAAAGUAUAAAUACUACAAUUAACCUAUUUUAAGAAUAAAUAUAAUAUCCUUAAGCAAAAAAAAAACAAAAUUAUUAACAUUCUUAUCCCUAAAACUGCUUCUAAAAAAUUUGAAGCGACAACACCGGAGCUUAAGCGCCUAAACCAUACGCGUUGUGUCAUCUGUCAAACGGCUUUUUGUUUAUAUUCGGGAUUCGUGUAUUUUCUUUAAUUUUUGGUUUAAAAAGGAAAAAAGGCCACGUUUUAGUGUUUUUUUAAAUUGCUAGGAUGGCAAAAACUUGUGUCGUUUGUGCCGCAUCAUGAUAAAAACGUGAUUCAAGCCGAUCUUUUCACAAAUUGCCCAAUGAUUAUGCCCAAAGGGAACAAUGGGUUUCAUUAAUGGAAAUCAACACAUUUAAAAAGAACAUAUUUGUUUGUUCAGAUCACAUCCUUAGAAGUGAUAUAAGGGAGAUAAUAUUAUCAGUAGCCAGACUUUAUUAAAAAAAUCAGCUCUACCUCAAAGGAUUUCUGAUGCACUGGUUAAAAACACAGCAGCCAAUAAUUCAGUUAAUUUACCAAGUGAAUUACCCUUCAAAGCUACAGGGGUAGCUUUCCUGAAGAGUGCAAAAACUUCUUUAGCUUUCAAAAUGGUAUAUAGUACAAACAGUGAAGCUAAUAUAGACACGUAUGGAUAAUUAAAAUAGAUUAAUAUUCUUGAUACACCAAAUUUUGUAUAAUUACAGAUCUGAUCAUUGAUCAUCAACAAUAACUGCAUCUGAGAAUUAUAGUUCUACAGUAACCGUGGAGUCUAGGUCAACAAUUACUAUUUCUCAUCCAAGCCGUUUUUGUUUAACUGCUACACAUUCCCUGACUCUGCCAAGGAAAAGGGUAAAAUCAAAAUGAUAUCCUGAGGACCUAAGCACUGAUGAUUCCACCGUUUCAAGAGCUUAAUCACUUGUCACCAGAUUAUGGAAAAAAAAUAAAGAACAAAAAAUUAAAAUUCGAAGAUUGCAACAAGCAAAUUUGCGCCAAAGAAAUUAAAUUAGAUGUCUCAAGUCAUUAUUAAAAUACUUACAUGAAAUAAUAACAUGAUUUUAUGGAAAAGCCCAACAUACUACAUAUUUUAUUUGACUUGUAAAAGCACUUGUUUGUAUAUUACUACUAAUAAACUCUCUAAUCUAAUCUAUUGUA
rnacentral:lncRNA from 1 species